AGGGGUGUAGCUCAACUGGUAGAGCGUCGGUCUCCAAAACCGAAGGUCGCGGGUUCGAUCCCUGCCGCCCCUGCCA
rnacentral:tRNA from 1 species